rnacentral:rRNA from 1 species
UUUCCGGUUGAUCCUGCCGGACCUGACUGCUAUUGGAUUGAUACUAAGCCAUGCGAGUCUUUGCAGUAAUGCAAGGCAUACGGCUCAGUAACACGUAGUCAACUUACCCUAUGGACGAGGAUAAUCUCGGGAAACUGAGCAUAAUACUCGAUAGAUCAUAAUGCCUGGAAUGGUUUAUGGUUGAAAUGAUUCGUCGCCAUAGGAUGGGACUGCGGCCUAUCAGCUUGUUGGUGAGGUAAUGGCCCACCAAGGCGAUUACAGGUACGGGCUCUGAGAGGAGAAGCCCGGAGAUGGGUACUGAGACAAGGACCCAGGCCCUAUGGGGCGCAGCAGGCGAGAAAACUUUGCAAUGUGCGAAAGCACGACAAGGUUAAUCCGAGUGAUUUCUGCUAAAGAAAUCUUUUGCAAGUCAUAAAACCACUAGUGAAUAAGGGGUGGGCAAGUUCUGGUGUCAGCCGCCGCGGUAAAACCAGCACCUCAAGUGGUCAGGAGGAUUAUUGGGCCUAAAGCAUCCGUAGCCGGCUCUGUAAGUUUUCGGUUAAAUCCAUGUGCUCAACGCAUGGGCUGCCGAAAAUACUGCAUAGCUAGGGAGUGGGAGAGGUAGACGGUACUCGGUAGGAAGGGGUAAAAUCCUUUGAUCUAUCGAUGACCACCUGUGGCGAAGGCGGUCUACCAGAACACGUUCGACGGUGAGGGAUGAAAGCUGGGGGAGCAAACCGGAUUAGAUACCCGGGUAGUCCCAGCUGUAAACGAUGCAGACUCGAUGAUGCAUUGGCUUAUAGCCAGUGCAGUGUCGCAGGGAAGCCGUUAAGUCUGCCGCCUGGGAAGUACGUACGCAAGUAUGAAACUUAAAGGAAUUGGCGGGGGAGCACCACAAGGGGUGAAGCCUGCGGUUCAAUUGGAGUCAACGCCGGAA